rnacentral:tRNA from 1 species
UGGCUCAGUGGUUGAGCGCCUGCCUUCGGCCCAGGACGUGGGAUCGAGUCCCAC